rnacentral:rRNA from 1 species
AUUGAACGCUGGCGGCAUGCUUUACACAUGCAAGUCGAACGGCAGCGGGGAGGAGCUUGCUUCUCUGCCGGCGAGUGGCGAACGGGUGAGUAAUACAUCGGAACGUGUCGAGAAGAGGGGGAUAACCACCCGAAAGGGUGGCUAAUACCGCAUAAAUUCUGAGGAAGAAAGCUGGGGACCUGGGAAUAGGCCUAGCGCUUUUUGAGCGGCCGAUGUCGGAUUAGCUAGUUGGUGAGGUAAAGGCUCACCAAGGCGAAGAUCUGUAGCGGGUCUGAGAGGAUGAUCCGCCACACUGGGACUGAGACACGGCCCAGACUCCUACGGGAGGCAGCAGUGGGGAAUUUUGGACAAUGGGGGCAACCCUGAUCCAGCCAUGCCGCGUGUAUGAAGAAGGCCUUAGGGUUGUAAAGUACUUUUGUUAGGGAAGAAAAGUAAGCUGUGAAUAAUGGCUGAUACUGACGGUACCUAAAGAAUAAGCACCGGCUAACUACGUG